rnacentral:rRNA from 1 species
UACAGAGGUCCCAAGCGUUGUUCGGAGUUACUGGGCGUAAAGGGUGCGUAGGCGGUCCUAUAAGUAUGGUGUGAAAUCUCCCGGCUUAACUGGGAGGGUGCGCUAUAGACUGUGGGACUAGAGUGUGGGAGAGGAAAGUGGAAUUCCUGGUGUAGCGGUGAAAUGCGUAGAUAUCAGGAGGAACACCGGUGGUGUAAACGGCUUUCUGGACCAUAACUGACGCUGAGGCACGAAAGCGUGGGUAGCAAACAGG